GGAGAACGAGGUGUGAUGGUAGCACUCCUGUUUUGGGAACAGGAAGAGCGGUUCGAUUCCGACGUUUUCCA
rnacentral:tRNA from 1 species